rnacentral:lncRNA from 1 species
UGUCAGUGAAAUUACAGGCAUAUUUUAUUUCAAUUGAUCCCUCCUAAUUUCUUUUCUGAUUAAAAAAAAAACUAACAGUUUUAUUCAUGUUUUCAUGUAUCUUGGAUGUGAAUGUGGUUAGAUUUUAACAUGAACAGAAGACAACAUUUCUCAACAGAUAUAAUUUUUUUUUCAGCCAGAAGAAAAUGAAAUUUAUCUUUGUUUCUAAAUAUACUUCCUCCUGGACAGAUUGAAACAAGCUGGUGUGAUUAUAGUUCCUGUCUCAGCAACUGUAUCUGUCCACAGGCUGACAUUUGCCAUGAUGCCUCCUGUCUAGAAGCACUGAUGAAGAACAUGCCAGUAGACGGAUAUGCCAGUGACUAGAAAACUUUCUGCAGCAACUUGCAUGAGAUUCUACCUUGGACCAUGUUUCUCUGACAACACAGUUGUCCCAAGGUGAGUGAGAAGCCUUGCACAGUGAGUACAAUGGUGUGUAAGAUAUUGGGCUCAGGAUACUGAGUUGUUGAAUGUUUCUCAGGAGAUAUGUGUAAGACAUGGCGUUCAUAGUCAGUAAAAGUAGAAUUUAAAACACUUUUCAGAUUUCUUGUGCUCUACUUUAGAGCUGAAACCAUGCAGUGACUAGUGGUGCUCAGGUUAAUUUACAUUUGCACUGUUAAAGUAGACCUGAUCAUCAAUUAGGCUGGCAUGGCAAUUUCUCUCAUUGGUACAUAAUAGAAGGCCUUUAGGAUGCUGGAUUUGUCUGCCUUUCAUGUAUCUCCAGAAGGCUGCUGUGACAACUAACCACUAGUUCUGGACCUGUCAGCCUGGCUUGGAAGGUAUUGGAGAGCAUGCAUAGUUCUCCACUGUAGCUCUCUACUCCUGCUUCUUUUAUCCAAAUGCUAAGGAUACUUCAAAUUCAUGCUCUUAAAUCUUCCUAGAGUACAGAAACAAAGGCUUGAUUUGGAGGCAGGUUAGUUUGGUACAGUAAUUGCUUGAGCUUGCCUCAGGAUCCU